CGCGACCGCCGCACAACCACCGUGCGUCCAUCUGACGCCGUCCGACGUACUCCUCCUCCUGGUCCCGCUGCCGCGCCGCCCUGCCGCCGGCCAUCACUCCUUCUUUUCUUAUUUUGGUGGAGAAUUCUCUUUAGGCGACUUUUAAAAGUGUUAAAGUGACGUAUCAGUUUGUUUACACAAGGUCGCGCUUUAGGAUGGCCAACAAUAAUGACCUAGCUGCUGCUAUUCGCCUCUUGGCGGAAAAACUAGC